GCCCAAGGAUGGGUCUGCGGCCUAUCAGGUAGUAGUGGGUGUAAUGUACCUACUAGCCAACGACGGGUACGGGUUGUGAGAGCAAGAGCCCGGAGAUGGAUUCUGAGACACGAAUCCAGGUCCUACGGGGCGCAGCAGGCGCGAAAACUUUACACUGCGCGAAAGCGCGAUAAGGGGACCUCGAGUGCGUGCGCAAAGCGUACGCUUUUCAGAUGCCUAAAAAGCAUCUGGAAUAAGGGCCGGGCAAGACCGGUGCCAGCCGCCGCGGUAACACCGGCGGCUCAAGUGGUGGCCGCUAUUAUUGGGCUUAAAGGGUCCGUAGCCGGACCAGUUAGUCCCUUGGGAAAUCUUACGGCUUAACCGUAAGGCUGCCAAUGGAUACUGCUGGUCUUGGGACCGGGAGAGGCAAGAGGUACCUCAGGGGUAGGAGUGAAAUCCUGUAAUCCUUGAGGGACCGCCAGUGGCGAAGGCGUCUUGCUAGAACGGGUCCGACGGUGAGGGACGAAAGCUAGGGGCACGAACCGGAUUAGAUACCCGGGUAGUCCUAGCCGUAAACGAUGCGAGCUAGGUGUCACGUGGAUUGCGAAUCCAUGUGGUGCCGAAGGGAAACCGUGAAGCUCGCCGCCUGGGAAGUACGGCCGCAAGGCUGAAACUUAAAGGAAUUGGCGGGGGAGCAC
rnacentral:rRNA from 1 species